rnacentral:rRNA from 1 species
CAAAGAAUAGGAAGUUAUAAACUUAUUUUACAUUAUUGGUAUUUCCUCAUCCAACCCUCCCCACCUACAAAACCCUUCAAAUUCUAAGUAUACAAAAGAAAACUAAUUAAAACUACUCACCCCUACCCUCUCUGCAAAGAAACCCCCACAAAUAAUAAAAAGAAAAACGAAAUUUGUACCUUUUGCAUCAUGAUUUAACAAGAAGAAAUUAAAUAAAUAAUCUCUAGAAAUAAGCCUGUGAGCUACAUUAUAAAAUGGACUUCGUUGUAAAGAAGUCCCCUAUUUUAAUGUAGAUGUGAAAUGCUUCCCGCACCUUAUGUUAGCUAGUUAAUUAAUAAAAGUACUUAAAUACUUGUUUUAUAUGCACCCCAUAUAAACCCACCCCCGUAAGGGGUAAGCUCUUACGGCCAAUAAAAGACAGCCCAUAUAAAUUCAAAGGAAAGUAAGAUUAAAAUUAUCUACCUAAAGAGUUUGUUUUAAAUUUCACCUUUAUCUAAACUUAAAUUUAUCUAAGCCUUCUCUAAUCUUACAUUAAUUCUUAACCAAAAACUUAACCUGUCUCCUAUUAAUGUUAAAAUGAGUAUUGAUUUUACCACAAACACCAAAAUUAAUUAACAAGGUGUUAACUACAUCCACAAUAUCUUAAUAAAAUAUGAAGAAGGAACUCGGCAAUCCUAAGCUUCGAAUGUUUACCAAAAACAUCUCUCUAUGCCCCCCUAUAGAGUAAGGCCUGCCCAAUGUCAAUUUUGAUUAAUGGCCGCGGUACUUUGACCGUGCGAAGGUAGCAUAAUCAUUUGUUUUUUAAUUAAAAACUAGUAUGAAAGGCUAAACGAAGCUUAACUGUCUCCUUCAUAAAAAAAAAAAUUAAUCUUAAUGUGAAGAAGCAUUAAUAUACUUAAAAGACGAAAAGACCCUGCUGAGUUUUAGUACAGAAAUUAUUAAAAUCCCCUGCUACUUUUGUUGGGGCGACACAGGAGUAAUAAACCCUCCUUUCCUUUUAAUUCAAUAAAUCUACGACCCAAAACAUCUUAAUAAUUAUUUUUGUCCAUUAGAUAAAUUACCACAGGGAUAACAGCGUUAUUUUUUUUGAAAGUUCUAAUUAACAAAAAAGUUUGCGACCUCGAUGUUGGACUAAGGCCUCCCUAAGGCGCAGCCGCCUUAGCAGAUAGUCUGUUCGACUAUUUAAUCCUUACAUGAUCUGAGUUAAAACCGGCGUAAGCCAGGUUGGCUUCUAUCUUUUUACUAAAGCCCAAUCCCUAGUACGAAAGGACCGGGAUAGUUAAAUAAUUUAUUUCCUCUACAAAUAAGACCUAUAAUAAACCAAGCUUAAUUGGCAGAAUAGUGCGCCCGACUUAGAAUCGGUCCAUGGUUAU